CCUGGCUACAUGAAGCUGGAAUCGCUAGUAAUCGCAGAUCAGAAUGCUGCGGUGAAUACGUUCCCGGGUCUUGUACACACCGCCCGUCACACCAUGGGAGUCGGAAAUGCCCGAAGUCGGUGACCCAACCGUUUAUGGAGGGAGCUGCCGAAGGCAGGUCUGGUGACUGGGGUGAAGUCGUAACAAGGUAUC
rnacentral:rRNA from 1 species